CACGCCUAACACAUGCCAGUCGAACGGUGGCAGCAAUGUCAUAGUGGCGCACGGGUGCCUAACACGUAGCUAACCUGCCCAGGCCUGGGGGAUAGCCCGCCGAAAGGCGGAUUAAUACCGCAUAAGAUAAUAAGGUGGCAUCACCUAGUUAUUAAAGAUUUAUCGGGUUUGGAUGGGGUUGCGGGUCAUUAGCUAGUUGGUAAGGUAACGGCUUACCAAGGCGACGAUGACUAGGGGAGCUGAGAGGCUGGUCCCCCACACGGGCACUGAGAUACGGGCCCGACUCCUACGGGAGGCAGCAGUAGGGAAUAUUGGGCAAUGGGCGAGAGCCUGACCCAGCCAUGCCGCGUGCAGGAAGAAGGCUUUCUGAGUCGUAAACUGCUUUUGAUAGGGAAGAAUAACCAGUACGUGUACUGGGAUGACGGUACCUACAGAAUAAGCACCGGCUAACUCCGUGCCAGCAGCCGCGGUAAU
rnacentral:rRNA from 1 species